rnacentral:guide_RNA from 1 species
AAUUAAUAAACGUAUAAAUGUACAGUGUGACGAUGAAUGAUAUUAUAU